CUUCAGGUACGGAGGAGAAGCCCAGAUGCGUUUCUCCGGCAUGCUGCCUCAGGCGGUCCCUCUGGGUUCCUCCUUCACCCCCUCGGCACAGAAGACCAUGCUGAACUUCGGUAGUCCUGUCGCAAGCUCCACUAUGCUGCGGUCGCCUGCAGGAGUGUUGAGCCCUCAGCAGGCCGGCCUCGCUGCGCCCGGGACGGACGCGGCUGGUGCAGGGCUCGGCCCGGAGGUGGGUGU